AACACAUGCAAGUCGAGCGGUAAGGCUCCUUCGGGAGUACACGAGCGGCGAACGGGUGAGUAACACGUGAGCAAUCUGCCCUUCUCUUCGGAAUAACCAUUGGAAACGAUGGCUAAUGCCGAAUACGACCUCCCUUCGCAUGUUGGGAGGUGGAAAGCUCCGGCGGAGAAGGAUGAGCUCGCGGCCUAUCAGCUUGUUGGCGGGGUAACGGCCCACCAAGGCAACGACGGGUAGCCGGCCUGAGAGGGUGACCGGCCACACUGGGACUGAGACACGGCCCAGACUCCUACGGGAGGCAGCAGUGGGGAAUAUUGGACAAUGGGCGAAAGCCUGAUCCAGCAACGCCGCGUGAGGGAUGACGGCCUUCGGGUUGUAAACCUCUUUCAGCAGGGACGAAGCGAAAGUGACGGUACCUGCAGAAGAAGGACCGGCCAACUACGUGCCAGCAGCCGCGGUAAUACGUAGGGUCCGAGCGUUGUCCGGAAUUAUUGGGCGUAAAGGGCUCGUAGGCGGUUUGUCGCGUCGGGAGUGAAAACUCAGGGCUUAACCCUGAGCGUGCUUCCGAUACGGGCAGACUAGAGGGAUGCAGGGGAGAACGGAAUUCCUGGUGUAGCGGUGGAAUGCGCAGAUAUCAGGAGGAACACCGGUGGCGAAG
rnacentral:rRNA from 1 species